rnacentral:tRNA from 1 species
GCAUCCGUAACUCAGAUGGAUAGAGUACUCGGCUACGAACCGAGCUGUCAGGGGUUCAAAUCCUCUCGGAUGCG